GAUGAAGAACGUAGCGAAAUGCGAUAAGUAAUGUGAAUUGCAGAAUUCAGUGAAUCAUCGAAUCUUUGAACGCACAUUGCGCCCGCCAGUAUUCUGGCGGGCAUGCCUGUCUGAGCGUCAUUUCAACCCUCAGCCCCCGCUCGCGGGGCGCUGGCGUUGGGGAUCGGCCGUCCUCGCGGCGGCCGGCCCCGAAACACAGUGGGGUCUCUCGCGGACUCCCCUGCGUAGUAGCACUACCUCGCAGAAGGGACGAGCGGGCUGACCACGCCGUAAAACCCCCCACUUCUCCAGGUUGACCUCAGAUCAGGUAGGAAUACCCGCUGAACUUAAGCAUAUCAAUAAGCGGAGGA
rnacentral:misc_RNA from 1 species